rnacentral:rRNA from 1 species
AUUGAACGCUGGCGGCAUGCCUUACACAUGCAGGUCGAACGGUAACAGGUCUUCGGAUGCUGACGAGUGGCGAACGGGUGAGUAAUACAUCGGAACGUGCCCGAUCGUGGGGGAUAACGCAGCGAAAGCUGUGCUAAUACCGCAUACGAUCUACGGAUGAAAGCGGGGGAUCGCAAGACCUCGCGCGGACGGAGCGGCCGAUGGCAGAUUAGGUAGUUGGUGGGAUAAAAGCUUACCAAGCCGACGAUCUGUAGCUGGUCUGAGAGGACGACCAGCCACACUGGGACUGAGACACGGCCCAGACUCCUACGGGAGGCAGCAGUGGGGAAUUUUGGACAAUGGGCGCAAGCCUGAUCCAGCCAUGCCGCGUGCAGGAUGAAGGCCUUCGGGUUGUAAACUGCUUUUGUACGGAACGAAAAAGCUCUCUCUAAUACAGGGGGUGAAUGACGGUACCGUAAGAAUAAGCACCGGCUAACUACGUGCCAGCCGCCGCAGUAAGAC